AGGAACAGGCUUUGUUGAAACGCGGAUGGAUGAAGGUUUAUUUGCUCCAAUGGGACCUAGCAUGGCUGUUGUGUUAUUUAGGCAGCCUCUUAAAAACAAUAGGAGCCACAAAAUCAAACAAGCAAGCCCUCAAGUUACAACCUUUGUUCCUUUCCGAGGCGAGACUGAGAAAAUGAGGAUGAAAAAGGCUCACGAGCAGAAAAAUGCACGACUUGG